UUAAAAAACAUUCCAAAUCUCCAAUCCACAAGCCUCACGGGCAACUGUCCUAUCGUAUAUUGCUGAAAACUGAAGAAACUAUCGGUAUUAGUAACGAAACUGACUCUAUUGUUCGACAGAAUAUUUUUAUUCAUAAAAACGAACUCUACGUCUACUGAAUUGAUCGGUGCAUACUUCAUACAAGAGGUUUCAAAGCAAAACACUAAAUCUUAAAUUUUGAAAUGGUCGAUAUCGAUGUUAUAGUCAUACUGAUCGUAUAGGCUGUUCUAACCUAAAAAAAAUCCUAACAGGCUGGACUAUAAAAUGUGGUAACUGGCAAUCUAUGGUUCUAUUGGUAUACUGACAAGACUUUAUUAAGUAUUCGAUACUAAAUAUUGCUAAAGUGAUGUCUGAAACCGAGAUCAAGAAGUCAUCCGCAUCGAUGAUUUCGAUGGACCCAAAUAUAGCUCAACCAAACUCGACGUGAUUAUGGACUGUUAAAACCUGAAAACCAGGAGACUAGGAACAGUAAAAGAACCCGGUAACUGAUGUAUUCUAUUCUUUCAACUGUUUAGCUAAGUUUAAUUUGAAAUAAAAUUUAGUUUCUUUUAAAUUUUUAAAAAAUAGUUUUAAAAUAUUAUAGAUUUGUAUCUAAUGAAUUGAU